rnacentral:rRNA from 1 species
GACGAACGCUGGCGGCGUGCUUAACACAUGCAAGUCGAACGGAAAGGCCCUGCUUUUGUGGGGUGCUCGAGUGGCGAACGGGUGAGUAACACGUGAGUAACCUGCCCUUGACUUUGGGAUAACUUCAGGAAACUGGGGCUAAUACCGGAUAGGAGCUCCUGCUGCAUGGUGGGGGUUGGAAAGUUUCGGCGGUUGGGGAUGGACUCGCGGCUUAUCAGCUUGUUGGUGGGGUAGUGGCUUACCAAGGCUUUGACGGGUAGCCGGCCUGAGAGGGUGACCGGCCACAUUGGGGCUGAGAUACGGCCCAGACUCCUACGGGAGGCAGCAGUGGGGAAUAUUGCACAAUGGGCGGAAGCCUGAUGCAGCAACGCCGCGUGCGGGAUGACGGCCUUCGGGUUGUAAACCGCUUCCGCCUGUGACGAAGCGUGAGUGACGGUAAUGGGUAAAGAAGCACCGGCUAACUACGUG